UUAGGAAUCUUGGACAAUGGGCGCAAGCCUGAUCCAGCCAUGCCGCGUGAGUGAUGAAGGCCCUAGGGUUGUAAAGCUCUUUCAGCGGGGAAGAUAAUGACGGUACCCGCAGAAGAAGCCCCGGCUAACUUCGUGCCAGCAGCCGCGGUAAUACGAAGGGGGCUAGCGUUGCUCGGAAUCACUGGGCGUAAAGCGCACGUAGGCGGCUUUUUAAGUCAGGGGUGAAAUCCCGGAGCUCAACUCCGGAACUGCCCUUGAUACUGGAAAGCUUGAGUCCGGGAGAGGUGAGUGGAACUGCGAGUGUAGAGGUGAAAUUCGUAGAUAUUCGCAAGAACACCAGUGGCGAAGGCGGCUCACUGGCCCGGUACUGACGCUGAGGUGCGAAAGCGUGGGGAGCAAACA
rnacentral:rRNA from 1 species